AUCCAGCUGAUGAGUCCCGCAUAGGACGAAACACGGUUCCUGGAU
rnacentral:hammerhead_ribozyme from 1 species